CACAAAUAGGCCAGACCAGAUAAGGGCAACAAAUUUCCUUCCUUAAAAGGACAUUAGUGGCCAAAUUGCAUUUCUACAGCAAUCGACAGUGGGUAAUUUGGAUUCUGUCCUGAAGCUGACAAGAUUGUGAAAUGGCCUCCCACCACAUUGGAUCUCCCACUGAGGGAAACAAUCAUGACUAAUUCUCAUCCCACUGUAUUCAUGAGGGACUCGUGCAGAGCUGCAAAUCACUCACUCGACAGUGUGACUUCUUGAAUUCACUUAGCCACACAGUCCUUGCAAUGCUGAUGUAACAAUACUGGAAGAGGCCAAAAUGAUGAUGAGUCAUCUCCCCCUUCCAAGCGAAUAUGGAUUAGAUUCUUUGACUCAACUAAGAGGAUACAAAGAAAAUGCUUUCAGAAAGAAACCUUAACUGGUCUAGAUUACGUUCUGCAGCCUGUUAGUCACUACAAUACAGUAAUCUGAUUGAUGCUUAUUAAAAUGCCUUCACUGUCAGAUUGACUCAGUCAAUAUCUGUAAAUGGAUGGAGAAAGAACAGUUCCUGAAAGAAAAUGGCAUUGCCCAUCAUGGACAACUUCUAGAAAUAAAAACGGUCCCAUUAUUUCCCCUCCAGGUGGGUUUCUGUUUGAUAUGGUUCCAUUGAUAAGUACCCAGGCUUCAGGUGUAAGCCCGAGUGCCAGCAAGCACUCAUUUUUCCCUCCUUAAAAUAUGUGUCAAACACCUGUGACAAGUGGAAGUCUCAGAGAAUGUUAUCCCCAAAGGACCUAACCCACUGUUCUCCUCCAUACGAGCAUUUUUCCCUUGAAGUUGUCUAGCCUAUUUGCUUCAGCUACUCCUUGUGGUGGAGUGGCGUACAUUCUAAUUCUUCCUGAAUUCCCUAUUGGAUUUAAUAAGGAGUAUCUUGGGGAGCUGUGUUGUUGAGUGAAAACCACAAAACAUGACCAACAAAAUCGUCGAAUAUGAACAGGAGCAGAAGGAAGAACUCAGUCUAGAUCUAGACAACAUCCCAUGAAUGAAUGAAUAAAAACAUGUUUCCAUUUUGAAUGUCAAA